rnacentral:rRNA from 1 species
CGGCGGACGGGUGAGUAAUGCCUAGGAAUACUGCCUGGUAGUGGGGGGCGAACGUUUCGAAAGGAACGCUAAUACCGCAUACGUCCUACGGGAGAAAGCAGGGGACCUUCGGGCCUUGCGCUAUCAGAUGAGCCUAGGUCGGAUUAGCUAGUUGGUGAGGUAAUGGCUCACCAAGGCGACGAUCCGUAACUGGUCUGAGAGGAUGAUCAGUCACACUGGAACUGAGACACGGUCCAGACUCCUACGGGAGGCAGCAGU